UUCCUUUUGGUGAAAUAGGGUCUUCUGUGAGGUUUGACAGCAUGGGUAAGAUAUAAGAAACCAUGCUUUAAAGUUCAUAUUACAAAUUUGGGCACAUUUGCUAUCAUUCCACAUAGCAAAUAAAAAAUCUUGUCACUAGAUGAGGGGCUUUUAGACAAGAAAAUACGCAUGUAAUAUACAAACUAUAUUUUGUAAUUAUACUUGGAUACUAAUUUGUAAGUUGUGUGUCUAGGUGUGAAUAGCAAAAUUAUGGCAGAAAAAUUUUCAAGAAUAAGUUGGCACUUGUAAAUAUAUCGUAAAAGAAGAAUAAUGUUUUCUGGUGAUAAUCCAGGUACAUAUGUAUUAUUUUGUUCAGUUCUUGUAUUUUUAUUGUCACUCUAUCUGUCAAGGAUGAUUUGGCGCAUUGUCCCUGUAUCUCCUAUUUUUCCCUCAAAUACAUUCUCAUCCAGCUCUAUGCCCCAUGAGACUGACUGUGUGGCCGACAUUAAUGGGCUCCCUUACCCAUCAGCUUCCUGUUUGGCUAAGCAAAUGAGGGUCUGCAGAAAGAGAUCAGAGCUGGAGGAGAAUGAGGUCCUCUCUGUCCUCUCUGUGGCUUGCUCAGGUCUACUAACUUUCUACCAUUGACCGCAGGUAGAAACUCCUGAGGGAUAACUCCUCACAGUGCUCUCUCUCCAUUUCCAUUAAUGUAGCCUCUCUUCUCUGCCUGAGAGCUACACAUGAUAAAAGCGUCAGGUGUUAUUGGACCCAGGUUAUUGCAAUUUCUUUGGUGCUUCCCCUACAUCCUAUCCACAUCUUUGUAAGUAAGUGGGCCCUCUAUUAUACUCUCCACAAACUAUACGAUUUGAGUGUCACAUAUUUCUUGUCAAUACCAGACAGAUCCACAUACUCAUGCAGAAUAUGAUAGGAUAAACUUGAGUUUCCCCUUAUCUGUGUCUCCACAGACUGGGCCAUUCUUUGAUUCUAGGAAAUUGAUCCAUGUCCAUUUUAGAAUUCCCUCCCUCAACUCCAUGGACACUCCCUCUUAGGCAUUGAUGAUCUCUCUUGGAAGUUUUAGUUUCGUCGCCAUUGUUUUGCUUUAGACCUUUACCAAGAAAUUAAGUCCAGCUCAAACGCAUCAUCUUCCACAGAGCUGUGCUCGUUGUUCUUUUUUCCUGCGUUCCUAGUCAGAAUUAGGUUUCCCCCUUGGUGUUAUCUUUGUAGCUCUUUGUUUAGAACGCCUCCUAGAAACAGUCUCAUUCCCUAAAAUAUUGGGGCUAUGUCUUUACUGAUAGGUUUCUUGAAACCAAAAGCUUUCAACGCGCAUGUAUUGAAUAUCAGACAAGGGUCUGUGCUAGAUGCAUGGGAACAAGGAUAUGAAAAAGAAUAAAAGGUAGUAAUUUGAAGAGUCACAGUUCCUACUGACCUUCUUUAAAAAGAAAGCUGUCAGUACCCAUCAUCUGGAUUCCUUGCUAGCACUUUUCUCCAAACACAAGUGUAAACACAUUACUAUACAACAACUCUGACCACUACUCCCACCACCAGCAAACAAAACUCACAACUAAUCUUUGAUGGAGACUUCUGUUUUCAAAAUAAAACUUAAAUUCCUGAGUACCAUAUGGAAAUACUCAAUGAAAGGGACUCCUGCCAAUCCAGGUUUAGUUUUUAUUCCACAUUAUCACCACUAUUAACCCUCACCCCAUUGGAUUGUUCAGCGUUUCGUUCCACGCCCUGUGCCUCUCAAGUUGAACGUUUCUAUUUUUUCUUAUCUUGCCCUUUACCAUAACUUCCAACUGUCAGAGGAAGGUGUUCCUACCAAGGUCCAGCCUAUCUGUCAGCUAUCCCACCAGAUCUUCCAACUCCAAUGAAUGGCAAUCCAUUACUGAGUUUUCCUUUUAUCAGUGCUAAUGGCAUGCAUAUAGUCUUCCCAAUUACAUUCUAACUUCCUUAGGUCAAAGGAUCAAACUCAUUCAUACUUGCAGACUGAUGGUACCUAGUGGAGGCCAACUUUACACAUGCAUUUUGAGCUCAGUAAAUAUUUCUAAAGUGGAAUGACUUACUAGUGAUGUAAUUAAACUUACUGCGACCUUUCUUCAGAAGAGAGUGGUAAGUUAGCUCUGCCGCAAGAGGGGUAAACAUAAAGUUAGGUAACUGUGAAUUUUAACCUUAUUAGUCUUCGUUUAAAUUAAAAACUGAAUUACUUUAGUUUCUGUCUCUGACAGAAGACUCUAGCUACCAUUUCUUCUCUUGCCAAGUAGAAUUACUCUCAGAGUCUGCAAAAGUCAAGUUAUACAGGGUUGUCUUUUUUACUCCUUUUGAAUUUUUCUUUCAUUUUCAAAACAUGAAACUUCCAAAAAUUAUUGGCAUGCAGUUUAAAAUAAUUAUGUAUUUGUGCAAAAUCUGAAAAAAUGCACUUGAAUAAGAUGCAAAUAUCCACAAUUCAUAAAAUAAUUAGUUUGGGCCCAAUUACUGCAUUUUAAAAGUAUUAAAGAGGCUUUUUUAAAACAUCUAAGGAUGUUCUUUUUUUUUUCAAAAAUAAAUCUCCAAAGCUACCUAUGGAUUUAUUGAAAUAUUUAUGAUAAAACGGAAUCCAGAAGCUUUAUGUUGGUGGCAUCAGAAAGAGGUUGAGUGAUAGACAAUGAUCUGAUUCUCAGGGUGAAUUAUUAAAAAUAUAUUCUUCUUUACAGAUCAAGAAUUGAAAGAUCAAGCAGCACAGUUCAAAAGUUGAAAGAGAUUAGAUAAAAGAUGGGUUGUGCAGAAGAACCCAAGGAACAGAUAAAACAACUAGUAAGGUGGUCACUGAAUCUCAUUGAACCAUUACCCACCCCUGACUCUGCACCGGACAUGGAGUAUACUUCCCUACCCCUUGAUUUGGGGCUCAGCAUGUGACUUGUUUUGAUCACCAGAAUUUUAGCCAAUAUGCGGCAGAGAUAUAAAAUGUGUUCUCAUGGCUGGGCUUGCUCUUUUGCAUUUCUACCAUCAUUACAAGAAGAACAAACCUGAGGCAGCCUGCAGACUUCAGGAAGAUGAGAUAUUUGUGGAGGAAACCUGUCCCAAUCAACCUACAGACCUACAGCCUAAAAGAGAACUACUCUGACAACUCAUAGACUCCAGAGUAUGAGAAUAAUGCUUCUAAGUCACUGAGGUGUAGUUUAGUGGCUUGCUGCUCAGCAUUUAUAGCAAUAGCUAUUAUAGCAAUAACUAACUGCUACAGUGAGUGUAUAAGAAUUUUUGGUGCAGUGAAUGUCAAGAAAGGUGAAUUUGCAAAGGUAUCCUAGAUGCUUUGAUGUGCCCUCAUACUUGUGUGAAGUGUUCUGCGACCACCACGGCUUCCCUGACAACCAGCCUACUCCUACCACAGGUUGGAAAACGGUGCAGCAUUAGAUUUCACUUCCCAGACCCUCUCACAGUUAUGCGUCACUAUGUAUACAGUUCUUGCCAAAGGAAUGUAUCAAAACGUUCUGUUCAACAUAAAGUAAGCCUCUUAAGGUUUGCCUACUCCCUACUCUGUUUGUCUCCCCCUGGAGUGCAGUGACAAUGAGAUGCUAAGAGACAGUGGAGUUAUUUGAGGGAAGCUUCGACCAUGUGUUGAAGAGAAGCUAACUACUCAGGAAUAGCCACCAUCUACUGUUAUGGGAGUGAAAAAUACUUUUUAUUAUAUUUGAUCCAUUAUAUAUUUUGUAUUUAUUGACAGUAUUUAUUGCUAUAACCUGUCUUCACUUAAGAAAAUGUUGGGGGGGGGGCGCCUGGGUGGCACAAU